rnacentral:rRNA from 1 species
AGCGAACGCUGGCGGCAGGCUUAACACAUGCAAGUCGAGCGGGCAUCUUCGGAUGUCAGCGGCAGACGGGUGAGUAACACGUGGGAACGUACCCUUCGGUUCGGAACAACUCUGGGAAACUGGAGCUAAUACCGGAUACGCCCUUAUGGGGAAAGGUUUACUGCCGAAGGAUCGGCCCGCGUCUGAUUAGCUAGUUGGUGGGGUAACGGCCUACCAAGGCGACGAUCAGCAGCUGGUCUGAGAGGAUGAUCAGCCACACUGGGACUGAGACACGGCCCAGACUCCUACGGGAGGCAGCAGUGGGGAAUAUUGGACAAUGGGCGCAAGCCUGAUCCAGCCAUGCCGCGUGAGUGAUGAAGGCCUUAGGGUUGUAAAGCUCUUUUGUCCGGGACGAUAAUGACGGUACCGGAAGAAUAAGCCCCGGCUAACUUCGUG